UUAAGUUCAGCGGGUAUUCCUACCUGAUCUGAGGUCAACUUGCUACUUCUUUGGGGGUGUGGGCUGGUGAAUCCACAUGGCCGCUGUAAGAAUUGUACUGUACAGGGGACAAGUGUGCCACCGCCAUUCAUUUUCAGCGGUUGCCGCGGGGGGCAAUCCGCCAACACCAAGCGAGGCUUGAGGGUAGAAAUGACGCUCAG
rnacentral:misc_RNA from 1 species